CCUGUUCCUAGAAGCAUUGCUGGUGUGGCUGCUGUGUCAUAUGAGCAUCAUUAGGUGGCAGAGAGGAGAGAGGCUGUAUCUAAGCUUAGUGUUCUGACCUGGGAACAUCAGAAUUAUUAGUAGCUUUACAUC
ensembl:snoRNA Gm23835 predicted gene, 23835